CUGAGGCUUGGUAAAGCAGGUGAAGCAGGAGGCAACAGUGGGUCGGUGUCGAGGCUCCCACCUGACCUCUCCAGGGGGUCGACAGGAGGUUUCCUGGAUGCCAGGAAAAUGCCAGGGGUGGCGGAAAGUGACAGGGAUGAAGAAACCUCAGGUGGAGUUUCAGAGAGCGGGAUCUCAGCCUCAGUCAGGCCCAGACGGUGUGUGGUGUCUGCAAGUGGGGUGUCAUGUAUGGAUCCAGUUCAUUGUUGAGGUUGUUACUUGCCUUUUGGACAAAACUCCCACCCCGUUUGGCUCCAGAAAAUAUGUGCCAGGGCAUCCUGAAGAGGACCACAGUAGCCAGCCUGGGCAAGACUGCCUUUCACCGCAUGCACUCCCAUCGUUCUGGCUCCACAGGCAUCCUUUAUGGCCAUAGCAUCGUCCCUCUUCACAUUAUCAGUAAAGGCUAUGUCACUGCAGAAGAUACU